CCUACGGGUGGCAGCAGUGGGGAAUAUUGCACAAUGGGGGAAACCCUGAUGCAGCGACGCCGCGUGAGGGAGGAAGUAUUUCGGUAUGUUAAGCUCUAUCAGCAGGGACGUAAAAAGACGGUACCUGACUAUGUAGCACCGGCUAACUACGUGCCAGCAGCCGAGGUAAUACGUAGGGGGCAAGCGUUUUCCGGAUUGACUGGGUGUAAAGGGAGCGUAGACGGCGAGUUAAGUCAGAAGUGAAAGUGCAGGGCUCAACCGUGUAAUUGCUAUUGGACCUGGGGUUCUAGAGUGCAGGAGAGGUAAGCGGAAUUCGUGGUGUAGCGGUGAAAUGCGUAGAGAUUAGGAGGAACACCAGUGGCGAAGGCAGCUUACUGGACUGUAACUGACGUUGAGGCUCGAAAGCGUGGGGAGCAAACAGGAUUAGAUACCCCAGUAGUC
rnacentral:rRNA from 1 species